rnacentral:tRNA from 1 species
CCGUCUAUAGCUUGGUCGGUGGAGCGUCUGGCUGCAGGAGAGACGACUGCCGUCGUCCCAGGUCUGCAGAUUCAAAUCCGGCUCGACGGA